GACUGUAAUUUCAUCUUCAUUUUUUAAUUACAGAUAUCAUGUAAUGGCCUUAUAACUCCACAGUUAAGUGUGCUCGGGCUAGAGUAGUACUGGGAUGGGUGACCUCCCAUGAAGUCCUAGUGUUUUACAUGCC
rnacentral:rRNA from 1 species